CCCUAAUCAAGGCUUCCCUGAAUAUCCUAGCUGGUGAGUUGCUUAAGCACCUCUCUGUGCUCUGUGCCACGGAGGGCUGGGAGGUGAAAAAGCGAACAAGACGAGGCCUGUGCCCCCCACGUGCUGAUAACUCCAGUAGGGAAGGAGACAGCCCACAAGCGCUUACGACCCAGGACAGAAGGAAGAGAGGCUGAGGGCAGUCACCUGCAAGGCUGGUCCCUGCUGUCAGAGUUGGAGGCUGAGGGCGAGGGAAGGAAAUACUGAUCAAGGAGGCCCGGCCAAUAUUUCGAAGUAUGGCUUCAUCGCGCCUCGACAUCACUCAACGUGGCACUCGGAGGGGCUGUUUGAAGCUUGGGGUAUCCCCUCGCCUGAGGUCUGUUCAGCGGGCGCUGAAGGACUCAUUCCAGUCCUGGCUGUACCAGGUCACCUUGGGGACACUGAGUGUCUUUGCCUCUUUGAGCCUCAGUUUCCACAUCUGCAUUGCCUCCUUCGCAGCCCCUGGGAGAUUCCGAGUAUGUCACAAAGGCAAAAGCGCUCUGUGAGCCUCAAAGCGCCAUACACGUGUGAGGCACAGCUUUGGCCUUCAUCUCCUCCACCGCAUUCACCCAGGGCCCCGCGCUCACAGCGCCCCUCCAGCGCAUCUGUUCUCACACCUAACAAACGCUUCUUUGAGAUGUUUUUAAUUGCGUGUUAGCUUCCUUUCAGACCUGAUUCAGUUCUGAUCUGGACGGCAACAAAGGGAGCUUUGAUGGCUGAGGCUCAUUUCUGGAAAUUAAAUUUCCAUUUUCAACACUAAUGCUACUGUAAUCCGCAGUGGUUUCUGUCUCUCUUUAUUGUGUCUGACAGCGACCGGCCUAUCAGCGUAAGUGGCUGAAUACGAGUAUGUAAAUGUACAACAUAAAAAGACGUUUCUGAAAAGCGGGGGAAAGGAAAACAUUUAAAGUAGGAAAUUAGGGGGUUAUGGGAUCCCACACCGUGGUUAAUGAGUGCGCAGAAGGCCAGCAGUCUCCGGCCUGGGACCUCAAGCGUUACAGUCGGGCAACACUUCUCCUGUUUUUGGAAGGAAAUCGGUAAUAGCCGCCACACACGGGAAGCCUUCAGUUUGCAUUUUUC
rnacentral:lncRNA from 1 species